rnacentral:rRNA from 1 species
UACGUAGGGGGCAAGCGUUGUCCGGAUUUAUUGGGCGUAAAGAGCGUGUAGGCGGCCUGACAGGUCUGCUGUGAAAACUCGAGGCUCAACCUCGAGAUGUCGGCGGAAACCGUCUGGCUAGAGUCCGGAAGAGGAGAGUGGAAUUCCUGGUGUAGCGGUGAAAUGCGCAGAUAUCAGGAGGAACACCGGUGGUGUAAACGGCUUUCUGGACCAUAACUGACGCUGAGGCACGAAAGCGUGGGUAGCAAACAGG